AUGGUAUGGUGUGCCAUCUCAGUCACACCACCUCCCAGGGGCAAGUUCGUGCUCGAGGACAGGCUCAUCAAAUCGAAUGUGCGGUGCCAUUGCCAUGUCAAUGGAUGGGCCGCCUUCUGCGCGGAGUUGAGGGCGAAGCAUAUUCUCUUUGAUCUCAAUACGGGGUCGUCGGGCAGCGGCUCCUCAAACUGGGGCACCAUUUCGGCGAUGGCUCUCCUGCCGUUAGAUCUCUGCUUCUCAUUUGUUCGGUCUAUCACCGAUUGGAGGACCUGUUCAAUCCAGCACCAUGCUGCAACCAAGAUCAUCGAGAUCAAGGCAAAUGCUAUCAAUGCUGCAGCAGGAGAGAUACUUGCUAUCCUGGAGAGUACGAGCAAACAUGAACCAAAUAUCUACUUCCAUGGCUGGGGUGGCCUCGGGGCAUCCACUGCUCUGAGAGUGGUAGCCCAAUGCUUGAAAUCAUCUACUGCUGAAGAAAUGAACUUUGACAAGGUUGUCCAUGUGGAUUGCUCAUUGUGGCAAAGCAUGAGAGCCCUGCAAAAGGCAAUUGCUGAGGAGCUAGAGCUUCCCCAAUCGCUGAUGGCCAUCUUCGAUCAACACGACGAGGAGGAUGAUUUCAACGGGAUUGACCAAGGCUCUAGAGGGGUGAUACUGGAUGUCACGGCGGAGAUCUUCAGAAAGCUUUUUAACAGUACAUUUGUGGGGAUUUUUCACAAUGGGAGCAACAACUACAUUAAUUUGUACGACUGUGGUGUCCCUAUAACAGAAUUUUUGAGUAACAAGGUGUUGUGGACAUGGGGAACAGGUUUUCGGCUUCUCUAUGAAAAACUGGAAGGUGAACUGGUAAAUGCUAAGCCUGAUAUUUUCAUGGAAGUUGUACAAUGGCAGGAUCAUGCAAUGCAUGAAGAGGCUGCAGAUGUUGCCAGCCACCUAAGAUUCCUCCUGCUAGACCAUUGCACAGAUGAUGUCAGAGAGGAGCAUCAUCAAAGCAACAACCAUAACGGAUCAUGUUUUCAAAAGCUAUGGGUGCUGGACCUGAGGAAUACGGACUGGUACUCAAAUAAGAUGAUGUAUUUAAUGGAUGAACUCGGGGAGCUGAAUGUGGAGAGAGUCAAGGAUUGGAGGAUAGUUGAUCUGUGUGGAGGUAGAACUAGCCUUGACAGGCUUCGAGUAACAGCUGACACGGACUCUACAACAGAAAUAGUCAGGCAACAGCUAGUCCCUAACCUGUCCAGCUCAAGACAUCUUAAGACAAUUAUCCUUGACAACUGUGUUGGAUUGGAAAAAGUUAUCCCCAAUGUUCUGCCCCCGUCGCUCGAGUCAUUUAGCUUCAUUAUCAAUGGGGCUGCUAUUUCUAAGAUAUCUAGCAUCUCGUUUCGGGGCCUCGUUAAAUUGAAGAGUGUGCUGCUGAGAGGCUUGAUGGAGAGCCUCCAGGAGCUGGACCUCUCUAGCACAGCCGUGAAAACCCUCGACCUCAGAGAAGUGGUAGCACUGAACCUCAAGCGGCUCAUCCUGUUGGGUUGCGAGAAGCUGCAAGCAAUACAAUGGCCGCCAAGAGACAGAAGGACAAAGAUGUUGGAGGUGUUGCGCAUUGACACGAUCUGA
rnacentral:rRNA from 1 species